UACGUAGGGUGCAAGCGUUGUCCGGAAUUAUUGGGCGUAAAGAGCUCGUAGGCGGUUUGUCGCGUCGAAUGUGAAAACCCGGGGCUCAACCCCGGGCCUGCAUUCGAUACGGGCAGACUGGAGGUAUGCAGGGGAGAACGGAAUUCCUGGUGUAGCGGUGAAAUGCGCAGGAUAUCAGGAGGAACACCGGUGGCGAAGGCGGUUCUCUGGGCAUGUCCUGACGCUGAGGAGCGAAAGCGUGGGGAGCGAACAGG
rnacentral:rRNA from 1 species